AUGAACCUGGUGAUGUGCAUUCCCUUAAAAAAGCUGCUGAUGUAUUCUGUAGCCGAACAUCCCCAACCAGGGUUUUCAGGCUGCUGCUUUCUUGAGAGUAAUGGUUUCUGUGUGGUGUCCCGAACUCGAUUAGGGGAUCACAACUCACUAAUUGUCCAUGAAUUUGAGGUACAAGGGAGAUUGGAGUCUGGGGUAGGGAGAGAGAGAGAGAGAGACAGACUUGGAGAAGGGGAAGAACAGAGAGAUACAGUUCAGAAGAUACAGUCUGAUCUGUUCCAAAAACUAGCUUCCCAAACCUGCUACUCCCCUACUAGUACUCCUUCCUGUCGCUCCACUUGA
rnacentral:rRNA from 1 species